UGCAGUAAGUAACAUGAAAAAUAAGAAAGUAAGCUUUCCUCAGAUUACCAAUAUUGCUACUCUUUCUCUUAGAAAACACUUACGCCAUUUGCCCAUUUGUAAAUCAGGAUAAUGAUUGUAAUGUGCCAUCAAUUUUUAAAAAGUCUUUAUUUAAAAUUUUGGACUUUCAGCCUUGCAUUCCCUGCCAUGAGAAUUCAAAAUAUUAAAGGAUACAGAUCUUUAAUGAAUGUAAGGUGUUUUUUCUCCUUAUAACUUAAUUGCCCAGAUCAUUUUGAUGCUUCAAGGCAAUGUUUGAGCAGCUGUGAAAAAAAUUUGCAUGUCCACAGAGUGCAAUAUUGUACAAAGUACAGGCAUCUGCAGGGAAAGCCAGCCUGGCUGAAUGUACUUACAGCUCUGCUCAAUUAAAUAAGGUGUGUAUCUAUUCUGCAAAAAUGCGCUGCUCCACAAAUAACUUAAACAGCUUUCCAAGAUGGAUGAGUAUGUAAAGAAAUGACCUGCUUGCAUAUCUUUGGGGUUUGUGCCAAAGAGAUUUGGAUAUUACAAACCAUCUAAUAUCUUUCACAAUACUUGGAAGGUUAGAAUGGCAUCCAAUUUGAGUAGUUGUUUGGAGAAAAAUGCCAAAUUUUGUCACAGUGACAUAAAAUACCUUAGCAUGAAGAAAGAACAGUAAUAAAACUGUAAGAGAAAGAGAUAAACUAAGAGAUAAACUAUGUCAACAGAAAAAAAAAUGACAUCUCUUUCUGUUUACUGCAGCUGCUGUGUUUGACAACUCUUAGCCUCUGGAAGAUGCUCUUUUUAAGGCAAUCUUUUCCUAACCUUAAUUAGAAGCGAUGAGGUGAAGGUGAUAGAGGUUGGUUUCAAUGCUUUUAAUAAUCGUGUAACAGAAAGAACACAAGACAGGUCAAAAACUGUAAAAGUUUUCAAGCUGCUUGAAAGAUACGCUACACUGGAAAAAAGAGAUGGACCUUCUGUAUGCAAUAAGAUAGAUGCUUCCAUUUUCUCCCAAAAUACUGUUGGUGAAAUUGCAAGUUCAGCAAUGAACGGAGACACACCUGGAAAUAACGUGACUCACUAUUCCUGAAAAAAAGAUAGAAGAGUCCCGUAAUGAGAUCAUACUGUUUCUGCAACUAAGGAAUCACGAGUAGAUGGUGGAAGGCCUAGGAAGGAGCUAUACUUUCUUACCUGGAGGAUAUGCUGAAGGUGUGUGGGGAGAGCCACCAAUGGCCAAAGCUGGUCCUUUACCUCCCAGCAAAAGGUGGGCCACCAUCAAGGGACUGGAGCAUUCAUCCUAUGAGGAGAGGCUGAGACAGCUGGGACUGUCCAGCCUGGAGAAAAAGAAGGCUUACGGGGAUCUUACCUAUGCCUGAUGGGGCCAUUAAAGAAGACGGAGCCAGGGUCUUCUCCAUGGUGAACAGACAACAGGCAGCUUUCCAAGGCAUGGAAACAUCAUGACAUAUAUUAUCGGUAUUACAGAUUAAAGUAGUUGUAAGGGAGCUAUACCAUUUUUCUUCUGUACUAACAUAUGCCUGCAGAGCUGUGCAAGAAAGCGUAAAAGGUUUGACAAUGAUCAGUCUCUCAGGUAAGCAGAUAAAUAUUCAGUCAUUUUCCCUUCCUAAUUGCUCUUAGCUUCUGUAUUUAUUUAUUCAGGAAUGACUCUGGGAGCUUGUUCUAGCCCCUUCGAUAAACAAAUGGGGUUCUGUUUCCUUUUUUAGAAAUAAUUAUGCAUUUUGGAAAACUAGGAAAAUGCAUCUUUAAAGUAAACAUGCAUAAAAGAGCAAAGAGAGCUCUAUGGAAAGUGCGUACCUAAGAAUACUAAUGUUUGUUUUCCAGAUUUGUAAAAGCUAUGAAAAAUAAAGGCCAACCAAACCAUUUUGCAUUUCUGCCUUCCCCUGUAUUAGAUUCUGGGUUGCAAGCCCUUCUUUGGGGUUCCUGACCUUCAAAGCACAGGACGAGACUCCUCCUUUCAACGUACUGCAGUCCGAGGAGAGUUCCUGUGCUAUUCCUUCACUGCCCGCGUAUUGAGAACUGCAGAGGAGCCGCAGCCGAGCACACGCUCCCAGGCACCCCCAGGAAUUUUCAGUGUUCUUGGUAUCUUGAUCGUUUUCCCAAGAUGGAUUGCAUCUGUUCUUUUUCAAAAACAGAAGUACAUUGUGAAAAUGUUUGGGGAAAAAAAAAACCACAAACAACAACAAACAAACAGCAGAGGAAGAGCACAUAUUUAGUAAGAAAGAGAAAGACAAAUGGCUAAAAAGAAUUUUGUAAGUAAGUGGUCCUCACGAACAGGAGUUCAUCUCCAAGCACUCUCUAAAGUCCAUGCAAUUAUAAGCGACUCAGUGUUAGUUAACCUGAACUCCACUCAUUUCCACUGCUUCUGCCCACUUAGGGCCAAGCUGGAAGACGAGUAUCUAAAAAUUCCUACAGGACAGUGCCCAUGGAAAUCACACUUCCAAGGUGGUAGAGGUGGGGGGCCAAAGGAGAAGUGUACCAUUUUCAUAUGGAAGUGCUGUAACAGUUGCUGAAACCAUGUGGGGAUUUUUAGGUCACAUUUGAAAGUUAGAGUGGAUACAGAAUUAUUUAAAACAUCAACAGAGUUCAAAUAAAUGCCUAUUUACAAUGAAAUUUCAACAUAUUAAAAAACUUGAGACCCUAUGGUCAAGUCUGAACUACUGGUUUGGGGUGCAUGAUACAUAUUUGUCUGUAUAUAUGUAUGUAUAUGCUUAUUAUAUAUUAGUGUGGGUAUAUAUAUACAUACUUAUGAACGACUGGAGCACCAUCAGCAGACAGGAGAACGAACGUGUGACACUGAAGCUGCAGGAGAGCAGCAACUGCACUUGCAGCAAUGGCCCACAGCUCUCCCAGGCUGCAGUCACAGGCUGCGCUCUGCCACCAGCGUGACGUGGCUGCGUGGAAACGGAGAGACGGGCUGGGUGUCUGUGCUCUCCAGCAGCUUCCCGCUGCUGAAACCUUUCCGUUGGCCUUUGUCUUUCUAGAAAACAUGCAAUUCUCAAACUCAGCCAAGAAGAUACCUGAGAUCAAGUCAGGUCUUUGGCAGGUGUAAAUUAUAUCUAUAGACUUUACACUGUUCUCAGUGAAUUUUACACUGGCUGAAGACAAAAACUUCUGCUUAUCUGCCAUACAAAUUAAUUAGUUUUAUGACAUGCCAAGUAGAAAAGAUGUGCGUGAGCAUACAUGUGUGCGUGUAUUGUGGGUAGUAUCUGCAGUUCUUAGGAAACUGUCUGAAUUAGAGUAAUUCAGCUCUUUCAGGCAUCUUCAUAGUGCUGCAAGACAUUGGAUAGACAGAUAUCCCUGUGCCUCGGUAAGCAGGGAAAACAUUGGCUAAAAAUCACUGAUUUGUCAGUCCUCUCCCAAGUUACAUGCACAUCAUAGAAAUGGCAUUUCUAAGAGAAGCUUAAAAUAAGGGGUCUUCAAUGAUUAAUUAUUAAAGUGCAGAUUGUUUGGCUGGAUUUCUAAUGACUGUAAUUUGAAGUCAUUUGUCUGACAUAGUUCAUCCUAUCAUUAAAUUCUUUCUAAAAAUUGCUAUAUUCUUCAAAAAACAGAUAAAGUGAUAGGCUGAUGGGAUGGAAGGAAAGGAAUGUAUAAUGAAAUCUGUCCUUCAAAUACACUCAGUCCUAGGGCUGACUGGGUUGUAUGUAUGUAGUAUUCAAGCUAACCAAACCCUGCAGUCGAAUCAGCAAGCCAUGUGCACAGCACUUCAUGAAUCACUGCUGCAGCCAUCGUUUGAGAAAGGAGGAAGACAACAGCAAAGGACUGAGCAGCACAUAAAAAGGAAAAUAAUGGGAAUGAGAAAACUAUGUUAACUUGUUCGGUAAGCAGAAUAUACUUUUUAGUUAAGGUGGAAUAAAGAAUGCAGAGUUCUUAGAAUUGCCAAUGGUAGGGAAUAUUUCCACCUAAUAAAAUACUACUGCAGAGGUACUACUCGUGGAUGUUGCACAGAUGUUCUGGUUUUGGCAGGGAUAGAGUUAAUUUUCUUCCUAGUGGCUGGUAUAGUGCUGUGGUUUGGAUUUAGGAUGAGAAUAAUGUUGGUAACACAGGGAUGUUUUUAGUUGCUGCCAAGCAGUCAAGGACUUUUCACCUUCUCAUACUGCCCUGACAAUGAGAAGGCGGGGGGUGCUGAAGAAGCUGGGAGGGGACACAGCCAGGACAGCUGACCCAAACUGGCCAAAGAGAUAUUACAUACCAUAUGACAUCAUGCUCAUUAUAUAACUGGGGGUUGGCCGGGAGGCGGGGCAGCUUGGGAGCUAGCUGGGUAUUGGCUUUGGGUGGUGAGAAAUUGUGCUGUGCGUCACUUGUUUUGUAUAUUCUGUUAUUAUUAUGGUUAUUGUUAUUAUCAUCAUCAUCAUCGUCUUCUUCCUUUUCUACCCUAUUAAACUGUAUUUAUCUCAACCCACAAGUUUUAUUUUUUUAUUUUUUUUUAUUCUCUGCCCCAUCCCACUUGGGGGGUGGGGAGUGAGCGACUGGCUGUGCAGUUGUUUUAGCUGCUGGCUGGGUUAAACCACGACAGGAACCAAGCGAGUCACUUCUUGUCUUGCACGUAGAAGGGUACAUUUGACAGCAUUCAUUAAUGCUGACGCACUACUGCAGUAAUAUUUCAGAAUGAAAAUUAUCAAUAGGACAAGGAAUAGUAUGAGAAACAGUAGGAAUUUAGAGACAUACACACACAGAGGCAUAUACACUCCUGCACAUACAAAUAGUUUUGUACAAUUUUUUUUUUUUUAAUACAUAUCUCUUCAUUUCAGCUCUUGUCAGUCCUGUGGGAAUGGUUUGGGUUUUUUCCUCAGGUAGUCAAAGAAUUCACAUGUUCACCCUCACACUUGAACAUGCUAUAACAAAAAAAUACAGAAAUGCUAUGGUCUUCAGAAGUAUUUUACCUGCAAUUAGAAAGUUGUCAAACAUACAAGUUAGAGUACAGAUAUAAUUCUGCACAUGAAAGCAUACACUUUAUAGAACUGGAAUCAUAAUAUUAAGACAAUUUGUUGGCUAAAAAUCAUUUUCCUAUUAUGUUUGUUGAUAUGUAUCACAAAUGAAAGCAGUCAGAAAUGAUAAAAGAAACACAGAACAAGAAAAGCUCAUGUGAUAAAAACUCUAAAAGGAAGAGAAGGCCAGUUCCAAGCAUUCCUUAGUGACGUGGCUUAGCCCCAGCCGGUAGCUGGGUGCCACACACCACUCACCCACCCCUUCCCCGGCGGGCCGGGGAGGACAAUGGA